CUUUGUCUGCAGGAUAGGGACGCAACCUCCAGCAGCCUCGCGUGGCCCCAGAGUUCCGGCAAGGGUCACGCAGGCAGGAGACGUAGCUUUGACCUAAUUUUACACCUUGUCCGAGAACUGGGGAAUUUAAGGAGUUUCUGUACCUGGGAAGUCGAACCUAAAACUUUGUUUUUUUUUUUGUUUUUUUUUUUUAAGAUUUAUUUAUAUUUACUUAUUAUUAUAUGUAAGUACACUGUAGCUGUCUUCAGACACACCAGAAGAGGGAGUCAGAUCUCGUUACGGAUGGUUGUGAGCCACCAUGUGGUUGCCGGGAUUUGAACUCAGGACCUUCAGAAGAGCAGUCGGGUGCUCUUACCUGUUGAGCCAUCUCACCAGCCCGAACCUAAAACUUUGAAACACUGUUGAACGAAUUUGGAAGGUGUUAAGGAAUAAACAACUGAUUUUAAAAGCUACGGUUUGGAAAAGCUACGAAGAGCAAACACAAUCAGUAUGCUUUUCAAAUUAGCUCCAGACACAAUCACCUUCCAGAACCAAGUGUACACUGCCAGAGGCACAGGGGAAGCGGGUAGCCUCUGAAACACUAACGGGUUACCAUGCUUGCUUGAUUAGUAUUUCUCCUUUUAAAGGGUCAGAAAGGCUGUUGGAUUCCCCUGGAACUGCAUUUGGAAACAGAUGUGAUCUGCGUGUGGGAGAGAAAGCCAAGCCCUGGUGCUCUGGAACCAAUGCUCCUGCGGGCAAUGCUCUUGCUCCCUGAGCCAUCUCUAAAGACGAAUGUCCCUUCCACCCAGGAAUUUCUCUCUCAGACAUCAUCUGACCUGUGUGCAAAGCUGAGCAUGAGUGACUCCAUACCUCUCAGCUAGAAUAACGGAAAGCACUUAACUUCCCAUCCUUCAGAGUCCAACUAGCUAGAUCUAUGACAGACGCACAGAGUGGCCAAUGAGCAGAAGCACUGAAGAAAACAGACACAGUCUCCUGUUUCCAAGACAGCAAAGAGAACUGCAAAGGAGUAUGUGAAUCCAGGAGCACAUGCUGAGCUGCAUGCCUUUUAUGUUUGAUCUGACAUCUGAAACAACUGUGGUGGCAGAAACCACAGAUCUUCAGGAAAAAAUAAAUUCCUUAACAUUUCAUA
rnacentral:lncRNA from 1 species